CUUCCAUCUUGUUAAGAAACAAAGUAACUGACGUUACGCGUUAUUAAUGCAAUAUACAGUUAGGCGUUAAAUCGAUAAACAACGACGUAAUAAUUGUGUUUGAAUAUCAAUACGAAGUACACAUGCAUGUCUUUUGUGGAGAUCGAGUGUGGUUGUUUAGAUAUAUAUAUAUAUAUAUAUAAAUGACAUAAAUCUAUGUGUUAUUGUGAGCGACGAGUUGAAGAAAGGUUUACACGGCGAGGCUUUCCGAGACGUGUCGGAUAAAUGGAAAGUCGGUGAUAACUACCGCAGACGAUUCUGUCCACGCAGUCCGAAAACAGAUAAAGCAGCCAGGAAAAAAGCAGAUCACGUCCAACAAACACCAUCACCAUGGCAAUGAGACUGCAUUGACAAUGGACUAAAUUAAAAGCACUAAGCUCCUUAAGCUGUCACUGAGCCCUCACGUCAACAAGAACGGCAGUACCGUCGGACAGUUUCAAUUUCAUUUGAGAUUAACAAUGCGAUGCCGAAGCAAAGAAACCCAGAACAUUCUACUUUCGGUAAGACCAUUUACUGUAUGUAAAAGCCAUAACAAUGCAGACAUUAAUACUUUUUAAACUAACAUUUGAAUAUAGUUGCCCACUUAUGUUCCUUUAGUACGUCUUAAAGAAAAUGGGUUUACUUAAAAAGUAUGAGUUCCUAGCAUGCAUUCUGGAAAGAAAUAUCUUGAAGGCUUUUGCUGAUGUAUAACUUAAAGAUUUAAUUUGAACAUAUGGUGGGUUAUCUUCCGAAAUGUUCUAUUAUUUGGGUAAUUCACUUGCCAAUAACUCUAUCUAUA